GUGACUGGUUGCCCUCGACCACAGGGAUGCGCCCAGGCCUCCGCUCAGGGAGCCCAGGCCCUCCAGGCUGACAUCGGUGCCGUUGGUGUGGAAGUCGUUGUCCCCUUGCAGGUCAACGAAGGUCCCAGUUCGCAGAGUGAUAGGACGGAGCUUUGUUCCCCGUGAAGCAUGGAGUGCGAGCCGGCCAUGUGGUACCCGCCCGAGCCGUAGUACUCCGGGGAUGGAGAGCAGGACGACGGCGAGUCUCGGGACCCGCCGGGGUGCUCCAUCAUUUGUAGAUCCACAAAGCCCCCUCCACCCACACCGUUGCAGCCAUCAGAGCCCGGACCCUGGGUCCCAUCCAGACUGUCGACCAGCCCGCCGCCUCCGCUGCCCCCGCCACAGUCCACCUUCUCCAGGGCCAUUAGUGACAGCUGGUCCAGGGCAAAGCGGAGCACCUCUUGGUGGUCCUCGUCCCGGGUCUCCUGGUCAGUAUCUCGGGGCAUACCGACCCCGUUGUGCUGGCUGCUGAUCACCACGUCGUGGUCCAUAAUCUCGGGGUGAAAUAAAGGGCUAGGCAUAGUCCCUCCGUGAAUCUCACAUCAGAUCACGGAUGCCUGUUUGCUGGGAGUGAUCGCACCCACUUCUGGAAUAAAAAUAAAAACGAAAAUAAACAGUUGGUCUCUGAACUGGAGGUGAGCGCGGCGCAGCAGCGGAUCAUUCACAAACAAUAACAGUGUUGAUUUGGGCGCCCUGCUUUGUCUGUUGUUGCUUCUUGUCUGACAACUGAAACCAUCCAGGCUGCCUGUUUUGUCUGGAUAAAGCGUGCCCUCGCUGUUACAAGUGAACAAAGUGGCUCGCCGCGCACACAACAAGAACCUUUACGGCACCGACCGCGGCCACUCUGACAUAAACGGAUCGGAUUGAAACGUGUUAGAAAAAAGGCUGGGAUAUUAGCUGUUGUUAGCUUCCAAAGCCGAGCUAACAGGCUAGCUCCACACAGUCGGCACCGAGUCACGUUGUCGACCCCUUUGUUUGGGAGCACCGCGGCUAGUUAGCUGCUUAGCUGUCCUGACAGCCUAACUUGUGCCGACUAUAUAAGGCAGCGUUGUGGAUUUUAUAAUUAAACAAACAUGGAAAUCACACAAACUUACUUUGUCUCGGCUUUGUAGACGAGCUCCUGUCUUCACUUGUCGCCCAGCUCUUGGGGGAAAGAUGAGAAGCAGCAAGAAGAAGGAGGAGGAGGAGGAGACCAGUGCUGUGCUGUGCUGUUCUGUGCUAGCGAGUUAGCUUCCUAGCACGCUAAACAGGGGGGCGUCAGAGAAAAACCUUUAAAAGCGCAAAGAGAAGAACUGUUGUUUUUUUCCCCCUCCGCCUGGAAAGUCAGAGCAUAUUCCUGGGAGUGUCACCGGCUCCUCAUUCCUGAAUGGUUAAAGAGAUGACAACUGGGAUCCACGGUUAGCAGUCACCUUUUAGUAGAAAAAAAGCCCACUGUGAUUCUCGGCUCUGUGCUGUGCUGCCUGACCCCGGACGGUCCGCCGCCUUUGUCUCGCCAGGCGCACGCCGCUCCGUCUCCCGCACACGGCACUGACGUCACCCGCGACACAACAAUGGGUUCAAAGGCCACAUGCAGCAGGCGAGGGGAGCGCGUUUAACGCCGCUGCUUUAUUUCCCUCCUGGUGCAUGUUGGACUGUUAGCGCAGUUAUAUAUUUUUAUUUUAUAUAUAAAAUAAAAUAAAGCUGUGGGCAUGGUUGGGUGUGUUCAUCAUGGCUACCAAUGAGCUGUUAUGGGUGGUCCUACCGCACUGGAAGAUGCUCAUGCAUUUAUUUGCUUUCUUAGCAAUAAAUGCCAUCACAACAAAGAAAUUAUAUCAGCUUUAGGUUAAAUCACGAAAGAACACCCAUAAAAAUAUUCAAGGCACCAUCUUCUAUUGAAAAGAGAAAUAUUUUGAAAAAUGUUUUUCUUUUAUGCCAGUGUGGUGUCCUGCAAUGCUUCAUCUUGUUCAGAGAUUGCAAGAGCAUCUCUUUGUUUCUUCGCUGAGCUGUGGUCAAGCAUGAGAUGCCUCGAGAGUCAGCCUUAUUGUAGCUAUAAUUCAUUAGACAAUAAAAUAGCUUUUAAAGCCAGUCAUCACAAGUGCAUGAGUAUGUUUCUUCAAAUGUGAUGAUAAACACAAUUUAAGAAUCUGAAAAUAUGCCUGUAGGCCUUGACGUACAUUGUAAGAAUCAGCCACUUCAGAUAAAUCAUAAAAAAGCUGCAUUUAUUUGUGACAGUGUUAGAGACAAAAAAGGAAUCUCAUACAGUACAUGUGGUUGUGAGGUAACAUCAGCGUUUUAUUUCUUGUAUUUGAGGGUACAGACCCGUUUCAACUAAAAUGUAGCUGGAAAAAUGUGAUUUUGUCAAAUAUAACAUGACUUAAAUUUAAAACUAUGUAAACCAACAGUAUGAAGCAGGAAACCUGUGAUCAUAAAAAGCAACACGAAUGGUGUGUGCAUGUAAACAUCAU